rnacentral:rRNA from 1 species
GACGAACGCUGGCGGCGUGCUUAACACAUGCAAGUCGAACGGAAAGGCCCCUUUCGGGGGGUACUCGCGUGGCGAACGGGUGAGUAACACGUGAGUAUCCUGUCCUUUACUUUGGGAUAACUCUACGAAACUCUGGCUAAUAUCGGAUAGGAGCUCCUGCUCCACGGGGGGGGUUGGAAAGUUUCGGCGGUUGGGGGUGGACUCGCGGCUUAUCAGCUUGUUGGUGGGGGAGUGGCUUAACAAGGCGUUGUCGGGUAGGCGGCCCGAGGGGGUGACCGGCCAAAUUGGGACUGGAGUACGGCCCAGACUCCUACGGGAGGCAACAGGUGGGAAUAUUGCACCAUGGGUGGAAGCCUGAUGCAGCAACGCCGGGUGCGGGAAGACGGGCUUCGGGUUGUAAACCGCUUUCGCUCAGGACGAAGCUUUGUGUGACGGUAGUGGGUAAAGAAGCACCGGCUAACUACGUG